ACAAUAGAACUACUAUGAUUCAAAAUAUCCUGUAGGCAUUAAGAUUUAUUUGAAGAUCUUACCAUCAAACAUAAGUCAAAUGCAAAGGUCCUGCAUGAGAGGUCAAAUCAGAAGCCAUGUCACUCUAUCUACUCACCCUGGUCUCAAGGUUUUGGUUGGUAGUGAAUUAAUGAUUGAUCACAAUCUAUGGAAAAAGCUAAAGAUCAUGCACUGUUGGAUUGGCUAAAAGCUAAAGAUCAAAACAGUUUUAUGUGACAGGGUUUUAAUUAGCUGCGGCGAUAAAAUGCAAUUGUUGGGAUGAAGGGUCAAUUUAGAAAUCUCAUGUUUAGUGACCGAAAUUUUUUGGUCACAUUAGCGACCAAAUUAGAAACCAAUUUACUUAACUUUAUAGUAAAAUAUAUAGUUUCGUUGCUAAAUCAGUCACAAAUGAAAUGAGUUUUAGACCAAAGAGACCAAAUAUUAGCGAUCCAAUUAGAGACCGAAAAUUAGUUACGGAAAAAAAGUUGGUCGGAACAGUAAUUCCUUCCCUUCAAUCUGAAUUUGAUUAUGAUUCCCUCAAUUCUGAUUUUGAUGAUCCAAAAACCCUAAAUACCAUCAUAAACCCUCAAUUCCAUCUCAUUCUCACCACCAGAUAAUAAUUCCGCUGCCGGAACCACCAGACAAGGUUGUCGCCUCAGUGUCAUCAAGAAACAUCCUCCGUGCUGCUAUUGAGGAGAGUUCACGGAAGACCACGCCAGUUGAGCUGAUACCCUGAUUGGUGUUCAUUUACAAUGUUGUUAACUGCCUUCCAAGUGUUUGAUGAAAUGCCAACACUCCAAGUGGCUGUUUGGAAUGCCAUCUUUAUCCAAAGUGCUUGAGGUUGGUGACGGAGUUUUUGAAGUUUUGUCCACUUGGGUGGUAUUGAUUUUGAUAAGAGUUGUUGAUUGGUUGGCUGGAAAUUUCAAGAAGAUGAAGGUAUAGACCUUUUGAAAGACAAACAAGCUCUUUAGCGACUUACCGAGACAGCCGAGAAAGCAAACAUGGAGCUUUCAUCAUUGACUCAAACAAACAUCAGGUAUUUGCUUUGUCAUUGAGCAACUCACACUCUUUUCUCGUGCUUUAUGACUGUAUGACUCUGCCUCGUAAGAUUUGUGCAUCCUUAAGCAAGAAUUAAAUUUUUUUUUUUUUUUAAAACUUGGUAUCCGGCCCUAGGACCGACUAAUUCAAGGGGGCCAAGCAAGAAUUAAAAUUUUGAUUCUGAUUGUGGCUUUAACCAGUGGAGGGAAGCAUGCCUAGGGAUGAAACUAUGAUUCCAAACCCACUAACUUAAUUUCCAUGGACUUUUAGAUUGUGUAUGGGAAGUGAAUUAUAUUAUUUGUUAUCUAAAUAUGGACUUCAAUCCCACUAUUUUUUGCUUUCAAAAGAAAAAAUUCCACUAAUUUCCAUGAACUUUACCUAUUUGAUCUUCCUGGAAAUUGUGUAAAAGUUAUUACUAAUAUAUAAUUCAGGACACUUCUUAAGCAAAG